CGCAUCUGUGCAUGCAGCAUAUCAAUAAGCGGAGGAAAAGAAACUAACAAGGAUUCCCCUAGUAACGGCGAGUGAAGCGGGAAGAGCUCAAAUUUGAAAUCUUAAAGGGUUUCCCUUUACGAAUUGUAGUUUAAAGAAGUGUUUUCCUGUUGAGGUUUUGGUAAAAGUUCUUUGGAAUAGGACAUCAUAGAGGGUGAGAAUCCCGUAUUUGACCUUUACUUUCAACUUUGUGAUACACUUUCAAAGAGUCGGAUUGUUUGGGAAUGCAGUCCAAAAUGGGUGGUAAAUUUCAUCUAAAGCUAAAUAUUGGCGAGAGACCGAUAGCGAACAAGUACCGUGAGGGAAAGGAUGAAAAGAACUUUGAAAAGAGAGUUAAACAGUACGUGAAAUUGUCAAAAGGGAAGCGUUUGACACCAGUGUUGUUUUUCUGAAAAUCAAUUAAAGAACUGUUUAUGCUAAGUUGUUUAGACUUUAUCAGCUAAUCUGUUUAGUUUUGAGCUUUUCUUUAAUGCACUUUUCAGUUAACAAGUCAACAUCAAUUUCUUUUGCUGUAAAAAGCUUGAGGAAGGUGGCUUGAGAUUCGUCUUAAGUGUUUAUAGCCUCUUGCCUAUGCAGUCGGAGAGAUUGAGGUCUGCAGCGUAGAUCCUUCGGGGCUAAAUGCAUUUGUGCUAAGUUAUAGCAUUUUAUAGACAACUUGUUGACUAUGAUUGGUCUUGCUAGCUUACUCGCUUAUGUUAUUUUACCUACGCUUAGGAUGUUGAGUCAUCACACAUCUCU
rnacentral:rRNA from 1 species